GCCUCUGUGGUGGAAUGGUAGACACACUGCAUUUAGGGUGCAGCGCCUGUGAGGGCGUGAGAGUUCGAGUCUCUCCGGGGGCAC
rnacentral:tRNA from 1 species